rnacentral:lncRNA from 1 species
GGACUGGCGGGACUGCGCGGAGGCGACUACAGGCAUGGCGGUCUGGGUCCUGUCGCGCCUGCUGAGCGCUCCGCGCCUGGCGCUGGCCAAGGCGGUCCUGAGGCACGUGAAUGGCCAGGAUCAGAUUGUGCCCGGCCUGUACGCCUGUGGGGAGGCCGCCUGUGCCUCGGUACAUGGUGCCAAUCGGCUCGGGGCAAACUCGCUCUUGGACUUGGUUGUCUUUGGUCAGGCAUGUGCCCUGAGCAUCGAAGAGUCAUGCAGGCCUGGAGAUAAAGUCCCUCCAAUUAAACCAAACGCUGGGGAAGAAUCUGUCAUGAAUCUUGACAAAUUGAGAUUUGCUGAUGGAAGCAUAAGAACAUGAGAACUGCGACUCAGCAUGCAGAAGGACUGAACCAUCAAGACACCUGAAACCUUAUCAUGAGCGAAUGCUGAGGAAGAGAUUCCGGGAGGAUCCCGAGGACCCCCCCAGUUGCAGCCAUGUCAAGACUGAUGCUGAGGAGGACCCCAACUGUCACGAGCAACACCCGUCAAACACAGCCAUCCACCUGAGGUCAGAUCAAGAAGCUGUCACAGAUGGCAGAAGAAAACCUGAGGAAUGGUCUGGAACACGGACCUGGUGGAGACCCUGGAGCUGCAGAACCUGAUGCUGUGUGCGCUGCAGACCAUCUACGGAGCAGAGGCGCGGAAGGAGUCACGGGGCACGCACGCCAGGGAAGGCUACAAGGUGCAGAUUGAUGAGUACGAUUACUCCAAGCCCAUCCAGGGGCAACAGAAGAAGCCCUUUGAGGAGCACUGGAGGAAGCACACCCUGUCCUAUGUGGACGUUGGCACUGGGAAGACCCGUAAUCGACAAAACUUUGAACGAGGCUGACUGUGCCACCGUCCCCCCAGCCAUUCGCUCCUACUGAUGAGACAAGAUGCGGUGAUGACAGAAUCAGCUUUUGUAAUUAUGUAUAAUAGCUCAUGCAUGUGUCCAUGUCAUAACUGUCUUCAUACGCUUCUGCACUCCGGGGAAGAAGGAGUACAUUGAAGGGAGAUUGGCACCCAGGCUGGGAGCUUGCCAGGAACCCAGUGGCCAGGGAGCGUGGCACUUACCUUUGUCCCUUGCUUCAUUCUUGUGAGAUGAUAAAACUGGGCACAGCUCUUAAAUAAAAUAUAAAUGAACAAACUU